CAACGAUUCGCUCACUGAUUCGCUGAAGCAAAGUAAAUUAAGUAAAUAGAUUUACAUUAACUGAGGCGUGCAGAACUAGAUACAGCGUCCAAACUGGAUUAACUGCUUUUUUUACCCGGGAGCUGAAAACAUUGUGUCAAAUACCAGUAUGCAGAAGUUUCGUGUAUUGUUGUUUCUGUGUAUUUUAAUGGUUGAGGAAUCAUAUGCCGGAAGCCCAAAUACAUGUGCUACUUCACCAGACUGUCCACUUUUCCCGAACCAAAACGAUGCCACGGUUUCACUUCAAGAGCUGACACAGAAUGUACAGUCCAAACACUGGAUCAUGAUCUAUUACUCCGAGUUUACCGCCAAACAAACGUAUGGAAAAUGUAACUUCAGGUGGAAUGCUCCUGAUUCAGAUCAGAACGUUAACAGGGAGCUGAUGUGUUA